UACGGGGGGAGCAAGCGUUGUUCGGAUUUACUGGGCGUAAAGGGCGCGUAGGCGGUCGUGACAAGUCACUUGUGAAAUCUCCGGGCUUAACUCGGAACGGUCAAGUGAUACUGUCGGACUAGAGUACAGAAGGGGGCAACUGGAAUUCUCGGUGUAGCGGUGAAAUGCGCAGAUAUCAGGAGGAACACCCGUAGCGAAGGCGGCACUCUGGGCCGAUACUGACACUGAGGAGCGAAAGCGUGGGGAGCAAACAGG
rnacentral:rRNA from 1 species